UCCAGCAUGGUGUAAUGGUUUGAGUAUUGGACUACGACUCUGGAGAUCAGGGUUCGAUCCCCUGCUCAAG